rnacentral:rRNA from 1 species
GAUGAACGCUGGCGGCGUGCCUAAUACAUGCAAUUCGACCGACAGCCGAGGGGCUUGCUCCUCUGGCGUUCGCCGCGGACGGGUGCGUUACACUUGGAUAACCUUACCUUAAGACUUGGGUUACUUCGGGCAAACGGAGCUUAUUCCGGAAAAAUUUAUUGACCUCCUGGGUCCAUUGUUAAAAACGGGUUUUCUGUUCCUUAAAGACGGAUCCGCGCCGCAUUAGCUAGUUGGUAAGGUAACGGCUUACCAAGGCAACGAUGCGUAGCCGACCUGAGAGGGUGAUCGGCCACACUGGAACUGAGACACGGUCCAGACUCCUACGGGAGGCAGCAGUAGGGAAUCUUCCGCAAUGGGCGAAAGCUUGACGGAGCAACGCCGCGUGAGUGAUGAAGGUCUUCGGAUCGUAAAACUCUGUUAUUAGGGAAGAACAAAUGUGUAAGUAACUAUGCACGUCUUGACGGUACCUAAUCAGAAAGCCACGGCUAACUACGUG